ensembl:lncRNA
UUGCCAUCACGGGGGUCGGUGCCGUUAUGUGACGACGGCCAAUCCCCGUGGCCGGCUCAGUGUCGGCCAGAUGACGCCAGGCGAGGCGGUGCUUUAUCGCAUAAGGAGAGAGCUCUUCUGUAUGUUCUCACGGUCAGCAGUCAGGCGCUUCUUUUGUUUCUCCCGAAAUGGCACCAAAUCAGAACCCCGUCCAUGCCAGGGCCAGUCAAGUGUGUGUGUGUGUAUAGUAUGUAGCUACAGUAGGUUAUGAUGACUAUUGUGGGGGUGGGUGGGGAGAAAAAAAAGUGACCCUUAAUAUGCAACUUGGUGGGAAGGUGUGAGUAGGUGUAAGGGUAAUCUAUAUCGUCAAAGUGACCAUAGUCUGUUCUUUAUUAUCGCUGCAGUGUGUUUUGUAAUUUUCUAGUGAAAGCGUGCGUUCUUUUAUCCCACGUCCCACGCAAUGUUCUCGUUCGUAGUGGCGGAAGUUUUAGAAACUUUUUAAAAAGAGGAACUACGGAAAAAGUGAGGGAAACGCUUUUCUCUCGUCCGACAGGAUUCACGGUGCAGUUAUUUGAUGUCCAAAUCGUACCCCAGUACUCACACUAUAUAUAUGGUUUAUAUUUUGUGUGUAGCUCCUAUAGGUCAUUUCUUCAAUCAUUAGAGCUGUUUUUGCCUGUGCGUUUGAUUUUGAAUUCUCGUGUUAAUGUCACUCAGCAGACAGAAAAUCAGUUUGUUUAAUUUUUCUAUUCAAAACACAAGGGCCACUUUCUGUGCUAUUUUUCUUACAAGUGUGUGUUUUUUGCUGUGCUUGAUUUUUUUGGGCACAACACCAGUCAUUUAAUGCUCUUUCCUUCAUUCAAACGCCAUCAAUGAGAUUCUUGUUUCAUCGUGUGUUGAAUACAGAUUUUAAAAUGGUGUUAUUGGUCAUGUUUUUGCCUCCCUUGCUUGUUUCUUUUCACAAGUGAUGGAAUGGGACAGGAUUGCUUCCUUAGCAUCACCUCUGUGGCAGUUGACCGGACUGCUUCCCAUCAUUGAGUUUUGCUUUGUAACCAGUUGAUUGUGCAGGUUUCUCUCACUCCGUCUGUGUUAAAAAGUGAAAAUCUGACUAUAAAGAGAGUUAUACAAUGUUGGUUAUUUUUCUGUAUCCGUUGUAAUAAAAUAUUGCAGUACUUUGUAUGAAAACAGACGAUAGUUAAUUGUAAGUAUUUAUAAAUUAAAUUAUUGUACUUUUUGCAAUCUGUAGAUAAGUACUAUGUCUUCAUAUAUACAGUGACAACUGUGGGUUUGGCCGUGAUUCUGAGGUGUCUAAGUUAUUGAUGUAUAUAUUGUAUGUUUGUUGAUACAGUUUACUUUAUUUUCUAUAAGACCAAUAAAAAUACUUUGAAAAGGAAUCCGCUGUCUUUCAAGGCCUGAUGUUUGUCCUGUCCUGUGACGUCAUUGACCCAGUUCGAUACACGUAAAAAUAUCCCGACGAGAAACCUUUUUUUUUUUUUUUUUACCAUCCAUGGUGCUUUUUUUUUUUUUUAGGAGACCGCAAUCAUUUCGAUGGCACAAUUUCUUUUUCUGUGAUCCAAAAAAAGCCGUUGGGCGACCCACUUUCGCUAACCUCGGUGGACAUCUUUUUUUUUUUUUGGCCCGACACGAGUAAAACAUUGGAGUCAUGAAGGAUGUCUAGGUGUGCCUGUCCUAGAUUAAGAAGAGUAGUGAGUUGGUCCUCUCCCCCCCCUCCCGCCUCUCCCCCCUGAUGGGCCCUCAGAGACCCCUGUGUCUCAGCG